CACGUAGGAGGCGAGCGUUGUCCGGAAUCAUUGGGCGUAAAGAGCGCGCAGGCGGCUUGGCAAGUCGGGUGUGAAAUCCCGGGGCUCAACCCCGUGACUGCAUCCGAUACUGUCAGGCUAGAGGUAGGUAGGGGAGAUCGGAAUUCCUGGUGUAGCGGUGAAAUGCGCAGAUAUCAGGAGGAACACCGGUGGCGAAGGCGGAUCUCUGGGCCUUACCUGACGCUCAGGCGCGAAAGCUGGGGGAGCGAACAGG
rnacentral:rRNA from 1 species